GUCGAACGCUGGCGGCGUGCUUAACACAUGCAAGUCGAACGGAAAGGCCCUGCUUUUGUGGGGUGCUCGAGUGGCGAACGGGUGAGUAACACGUGAGUAACCUGCCCUUGACUUUGGGAUAACUUCAGGAAACUGGGGCUAAUACCGGAUAGGAGCUCCUGCUGCAUGGUGGGGGUUGGAAAGUUUCGGCGGUUGGGGAUGGACUCGCGGCUUAUCAGCUUGUUGGUGGGGUAGUGGCUUACCAAGGCUUUGACGGGUAGCCGGCCUGAGAGGGUGACCGGCAACAUUGGGACUGAGAUACGGCCCAGACUCCUACGGGAGGCAGCAGUGGGGAAUAUUGCACAAUGGGCGGAAGCCUGAUGCAGCAACGCCGCGUGCGGGAUGACGGCCUUCGGGUUGUAAACCGCUUUCGCCUGUGACGAAGCGUGAGUGACGGUAAUGGGUAAAGAAGCACCGGCUAACUACGUG
rnacentral:rRNA from 1 species